GACGAACGCUGGCGGCGUGCUUAACACAUGCAAGUCGAACGGAAAGGCCCCUUUGGGGGUACUCGAGUGGCGAACGGGUGAGUAACACGUGAGUAACCUGCCCUUGACUUCGGGAUAACUUCAGGAAACUGGGGCUAAUACCGGAUAGGAAUCCUUGCUGCAUGGUGGGGGUUGGAAAGCUUCGGCGGUUUUGGAUGGACUCGCGGCUUAUCAGCUUGUUGGUGGGGUAGUGGCUUACCAAGGCUUUGACGAGUAGCCGGCCUGAGAGGGCGACCGGCCACAUUGGGACUGAGAUACGGCCCAGACUCCUACGGGAGGCAGCAGUGGGGAAUAUUGCACAAUGGGCGGAAGCCUGAUGCAGCAACGCCGCGUGCGGGAUGACGGCCUUCGGGUUGUAAACCGCUUUCAGCAGGGGCGAAGCUUGUGGUGACGGUACCUGCAGAAGAAGCACCGGCUAACUACGUG
rnacentral:rRNA from 1 species